rnacentral:rRNA from 1 species
GGAGUCUGGGCCGUAUCUCAGUCCCAAUGUGGCCGUUCAACCUCUCAGUCCGGCUACUGAUCGCAGCCUUGGUAGGCCGUUACCCCACCAACUAGCUAAUCAGAUGUGAGCCCAUCUUUCAGCGGAUUGCUCCUUUGGUAUCCAGGCGAUGCCGCCCAAAUACAUUAUGCGGUAUUAGCAGUCGUUUCCAACUGUUGUCCCCCUCUGAAAGGCAGGUUGCUCACACAUUACUCACCCGUCCGCCACUAAGUCAAAGGAAACUUUGACGAAUCUCCAUUUCCAAUGCUUCGUUCGACUUGCAUGUGUUAGGCACGCCGCCAGCGUUCAUC